rnacentral:misc_RNA from 1 species
GGAGAUUGAGAUUAGAUGGAAAUAGACUUAGUGGUAAAAUUCCAUCUGAGAUUGGUAAUCUAAGCCAACUUGUUGAGUUAGACUUGUCACAUAAUCAACUCUCAGGCUCUAUCCCUGGAUUGAUCUUCAGCAUGUCAUCAUUACGUGCUGUGUAUUUGGUUAACAAUAGUCUUUCUGGUUCAUUCUUGGUUGAUGAAAUGAAGGGUGUGAUGAAUCUUGAAGUUA